AGGAGCGUCGCAUAGAGGUAGGUCGGCACGCAGGAGGAGAAGAGAGACAUAUAGGCGCCGAGAUUGGCUAUAGUGUCGACCUUGAGCGCGGUGAUCCGGUUGCUGCUGUCGAAAGCCAUCUUCACCGUCGACACAUGGUCGCGGCCGUG
rnacentral:sRNA from 1 species